rnacentral:rRNA from 1 species
UACGUAGGGUGCAAGGGUUAAUCGGAAUUACUGGGCGUAAAGCGUGCGCAGGCGGUUUUGUAAGUCUGUCGUGAAAGCCCCGGGCUCAACCUGGGAAUUGCGAUGGAGACUGCAAGGCUUGAAUCUGGCAGAGGGGGGUAGAAUUCCACGUGUAGCAGUGAAAUGCGUAGAGAUGUGGAGGAACACCGAUGGCGAAGGCAGCCCCCUGGGUCAAGAUUGACGCUCAUGCACGAAAGCGUGGGGAGCAAACAGG